GACGUAGGGGGCCAGCGUUGCUCGGAAUUACUGGGCGUAAAGGGUUCGUAGGCGGUGUGGCAAGUCGGGAGUGAAAUCUCUGGGCUUAACUCAGAGGCUGCUUCCGAAACUGCCGUGCUAGAGUGCGGGAGAGGCGAGUGGAAUUGCAGGUGUAGCGGUGAAAUGCGUAGAUAUCUGCAGGAACACCCGUGGCGAAGGCGGCUCGCUGGACCGCAACUGACGCUGAGGAACGAAAGCCAGGGGAGCAAACGGG
rnacentral:rRNA from 1 species